rnacentral:lncRNA from 1 species
CCGUUUGCCUCUGGGACUGGCGAUACUCGAGGUAAUGGCUACUGGGGCCAAGUCGUGGGCGACCUGCAGUGCAUGGGUAGAGUAAGGUGCCUCCGCCCAGUCUAAGCAGCCCUCCCCAGAGCUGGUGGGUUCCCAGGAGUGAUGCCUGUUUGUCAGUGAGGCCCCGCGGGGAUGAGGACGGAGCAUUACGCAGCGCACUGCGCCCCCUUGAACUCUGCAGAUGCCAGGAUGUCUUGAGGCCUUCCAGACCUUGCUCCACCUCCACCACCAGGUCUCCAGUCCUGAGCCACAUGCUGCCAUUUUUGUCUCAGAAGCACCCCUCUUCCAGGUGGAAGAUUGAAGGUCUGAAGAGUGGGAAGUCCCAGGAACAGGCAAUUCCAGGAAGAUAUGAGGAAAAUCAAGAAAGAGAAGGAAACUGAAGCUAGUGGGAAGUGCUUCAAGUUGGAGAUGAUGCUGAGAUGGCCAAAAAGUGAGAGGUGGAAAACAUUUGGAGUGAGUUAAGGAGAGAACGCGAGGCAAGGAAGUGAAGCUGAUUUUCAAACCUGAGUGAAUGAAUGAAUAAACGGACCUGGGAAUUGAUCAACAAUGGCUGCUGCAUCGCGUAAAGAGAGACGACCAGGUGUCAGCUGGCUGUCAACUGAUCUAGGAUGGUCUUGGAGGGACAACGAGGGCAACCCCAUGUCUCUUCUUUAGCAGGCCAGCCCAGACAUGCUUUCAUGGCUGAAUAGGAGCCAGCCUGGUCAUGGGAGCAAUUUUCAAGCAAGUCUCUGCUUGAAUGUCACAUUUACUAACAUCCUGUUGGCCAAGGUGCAUCCCAUGGCUGAGCCCAGUGUCCAAGUGAAAGGGCACCAGGAAGUUCCCUGCAGCGCUGUGGGUACUGGAAGAAUGGGCGCCAUCUUCAUGACAGCAGCAUGCUAAGUUACAGAAAGUGAGCGGCGUUCUAGACAAAGCAAGCUCAUCUGUGAAUGGAUCAUGGCGGAAACCUGACCACAGUAUGUUGGGAUUUAUGUGUUUGACAUUUUCUAUAAUAGAAAGGCAGAUCAAAAAUAAGGCUCCAGUGCCUCCACUCAGGAAAGCUCAAGUAGGUUUUCUUGAGAAUUUUUAGUGGAUACCCUGUUUUGCAAUGUUCUUUUCUUUUUCUAAUGAGGCUGAACCAGAUUGUAAUGCCAUGAGGCUUCUACAUGGAGAGCUGGACGUUGGUGAGGAUUGGGUGGAGAAGGCCGGGUGGAGGCUGGGCCUGGGAGAAGAGCAGCAGAUUCCCAAACGUACUGGUAUUGGUGCAUACUCUGAGAAAGACAUCUCAGAGCACUUCUGCCGUCAGUUACGAAGUUUCAAUAUAAGAAUUCUUUC